AGCGAACGCUGGCGGCAGGCUUAACACGUGCAAGUCGAGCGGGCAUCCUUGUGGUGUCCGCGGCAGACGGGUGAGUAACGCGUGGGAACGUGCCCUUCGGUUCGGAAUAACUCAGGGAAACUUGAGCUAAUACCGGAUACGUGCGAGAGCAGAAAGGUUUAUCUGCCGAAGGAUCGGCCCGCGUCUGAUUAGCUAGUUGGUGAGGUUAUGGCUCACCAAGGCGACGAUCAGUAGCUGGUCUGAGAGGAUGAUCAGCCACACUGGGACUGAGACACGGCCCAGACUCCUACGGGAGGCAGCAGUGGGGAAUAUUGGACAAUGGGGGCAACCCUGAUCCAGCCAUGCCGCGUGAGUGAUGACGGCCUAGGGUUGUAAAGCUCUUUUCUCCGGGACGAUAAUGACGGUACCGGAGGAAUAAGCCCCGGCUAACUUCGUG
rnacentral:rRNA from 1 species